rnacentral:rRNA from 1 species
AUGAUUAUUCAUUCGCCGGAACCAGAAGUAAAAAUUGUUGUGGAUAGGGAUCCUGUAAAAACAUCUUUUGAGGAAUGGGCCAGACCCGACCAUUUCUCAAGAACACUAGCUAAGGGCCCUGAUACUACCACUUGGAUCUGGAACCUACAUGUUGAUGCUCACGAUUUCGAUAGUCAUACUGGUGAUUUGGAGGAGAUUUCUCAAAAAGUCUUUAGUGCUCAUUUUGGGCAACUUUCCAUUAUCUUUCUUUGGUUGAGUGGCAUGUAUUUUCAUGGCGCUCGUUUUUCCAAUUAUGAAGCAUGGCUAAGUGAUCCUACUCACAUUGGACCCAGUGCUCGGGUAGUUUGGCCUAUAGUAGGGAAAGAAAUAUUUAAUGGUGAUGUAGGCGGGGGUUUUGAGGAAUCCAAAUAA